AUAAAAGAACACAUUGCUAUGAUCGCAAUAGUGUUUUCAAAUAUUAUUUAGAGAAGAGUCGUGUGUCAGCAAUGUCUUAUCAAAUCAAGAAACUAACACAAAGAAAUCUAUGUGAACAUGAAGCGUAAAAAUGGGAAAAAGUAAAUAGGUGCUUUGAAGGUACGUUGAAAGUUGAAACGAACAGACAUCGGUAGCAAAAUGCGAAUGGGUCGAUGCAGCGCCGGCGCUGCAGAAGAUAACCAAGAAGACGAAUAUCCCCACCAAUCCUCUUCAUCGUCAAAACGAUCGCGUCGACGUGUACCCUCUUUUCCAUCCAGUGUGCAAGAUAGAGUGAGAGGAAAAGAGUCUCUCUACUUCUCUAUCUCUUGUUCUCUUUCCUCCUCGCUCCUCGUCUCUGUUUCUUGUCGUACGAAUGCACCUCGUUGUGCUCCGCAGAACACUACACGAAGCGCCUCGAACCAGUGUAGAACGGUUUGCAGUAAAGUAGGGCCGUUGUCGCGUUUACCUCCUCGCGGGGAAUUAGGAAUUGAAUAAAAUACAGAAAAGAAAUUUUUAAUUUCAACGUAAUCCACGUAUUCUUUAGCUGUCAUAUCAGCGCACAUUGCAAUGACACGUAACGGAUCUUUGGCCAUGGCCGAGUGAGAGUUUAGCGCAAAUAAACAUAGUCAAGGCUGACAUUUGCGUAAAAAGCCGUGAAAUUUUGAAACUGUAUUUCAUCCAUCCCGCAUCCACUUUAUGAUGUAAAAUAAAUACAUCUAAUAAUGAGAAGAAUGGUUUCGUUUUCAUAUAUGCAGCUCAUUCGUACCACCGCCACGCUCUCUCUGUUGCAUAAAACGACUUUCUUAAACAAAAGAAGAUUUGCUAGUGAAAGGAAUUUCAUUAUUAGUCGUGAGAAAAAAAGUAGUGCAGUGACAUACGGGAAAAUCUCAUUACUUAACCAUCUACUACAGUUAACUUAUAUUCUGCGAUCAUAAAAUCGUUAGUUUAUUUUCAAGCUCGGUGCCUUCUAUUUUAUUAUACUGUAUACGAAUCAGCUUCAAAAAUAAACUAAUUUAUAGACAUUCUUUUCAUUUGA